rnacentral:lncRNA from 1 species
CAGCGCUCGUUAGCGUGGUGGUUCGGAUACAAAUGCGUGUGUAGACAGAAUACGCACUGUGUGCAGUUUUUUCAUGCUGUUUUCGGACAACGGCAGCUGAACUUGAGUGUCAAGGCGAACACAAUAGAGCCCUGAAACGCGGUCAUGCAUAAACUGAAAUGAGUGCUUUAUCUCAAACGUUAGCAAUCCUGUGUAUUCAUCUGUUUUUACCUCAACAUGGAACGACAAGCAAGUACGACAGAAACAAGGCUUGCCUUAAGCCGCCUACGAAGAACUGUACUACCGUCGAGUACAAAUGGAGUUUCAUUGAACAAUUGAAUGGCUGCUACCAAAAUUAUGUGUGCUCGGACAGCAUAAACAACUUCGAAGAUAAGUUUAAGUGCGCAAGGGCGUGUCCACCACUUUGGCGGCCAUUUGCAUCCAAGAAAACAAAAUACCUGCAGUGACUGGCUGCAGGGGUUUCCGUGUUACCGAUUCUGGUUUAGCUAUUAUCCCGACAUUAAUGGAUUUCUCCGUGAGUACAUGUUUUACACUGGGUGCGGAGAAUGGAGGAAUAAGCUGUAUGUCUACGAUCCGUGGAUGAAGACUUGCCAAGAAAUUCGGCGCUGUUCCAGGUGUGCUCGCGAAUGAGGACAUCCAAUUUUUCUGUUGACCUGGUUCUGCAAAAUUAUUCAUAUUACUCUGGAAUAUGUGCUUGAUAUGUUUCAUCGAUUGUCGAAA